UCCGUAGGGUGCGAGCGUUGCCCGGAUUUAUUGGGCGUAAAGGGCGCGUAGGCGGCCACGCACGUCCGUUGUGAAAUCGCCCGGCUCAACUGGGCGGGGUCAGCGGAUACGGUGUGGCUCGAGCAAGCUAGGGGGCAAUGGAAUUCCCGGUGUAGUGGUGGAAUGCGUAGAUAUCGGGAGGAACACCAGUGGCGAAGGCGGUUGCCUGGAGCUUUGCUGACGCUGAGGCGCGAAAGCGUGGGGAGCAAACAGG
rnacentral:rRNA from 1 species